UUGUAUUAAUAUUGAAAUCUCCUUUUCCACUACAUUUGUAUUAGUUGAUUCUGGUCUAAAUACUUUUGCUUCUUGUCCGUUGAUUGUGUGUUCAGCAACCUGUUAAACUGUCACGUUUGUUAUAAUGGUCUUAAAAAAUUCUUGGAGGUACUGUGUGGUGGUUGGCAAGACUCUAACAAGGCGGCCACGAUUUUUGCUUUCUGUGUACAUACCCCAUCUGAUCCUCCCGCCCCCGAGUGCGGGCAGGACCCGUGAAUGUGCUAGAACGGUCACUCCCUUGAUUGGUUCUUUCGCAUGACAAAGGUGAUGGGAUAGUCACCCGCGUUGUCACGUUGUAUCCUACAAGACCCAGCCGUAGCCAACCGACGGGGAAGGGACGGAUUCUCCUGGCGGCUCUGCGUAAGCAUGCUGUCACAGCGGGCACCAGGUGCCCAGGGAAUGUAGGCUUCUGGAAGCUGAGAGCAGCCCUCAGAGGACCGCCAUCAAGGAAACAGAAAGCUCAGUCCUGCAUCCACAAGGACUGAAUCCCGCCAACAACCAAGUGAGCUGGGACGCGGACACUGUGAUCCAGCAGAGAACAGGGCCGGGGCCCCACCUGGAUUUCUUCCUCCUUAGACCCUGAGCAGAGAACAGAGUUUUGGCGGACACAACCGGGACGUAAUAACUGUGUGCUGCCUGAAGCUGCGAAAUUUGCGGCAUCAACUUGUUAUGUAGAAACAGAAGGCAGAUACGUACAUAAACGCUGUGUUGUCUACAAUUAAUGGCGAGGCUGUUUCUUCCUUUCCAUUCCUUACACAUUGUAUUUAUUUAUUUAUUUUAAAAUAUUUUAUUUAUUCAUGAAAGAGAGAGGCAGAGACACCGGCAGAAGGAGAAGCAGGCUCCAUGUCAGGAGCCCAACGUGGGACUUGAUCCUGGGACCCCGGGGUCACGCCCUGGGCCGAAGGCAGGCGCUCAACCACUGAGCCCCCCAGAGAUCCCCACUUACACAUUUUAUAUUCACCUCUGCGCUUCUCUGUGCUGGCUGAAGCCUUGAGUGACAUAAAAGUGAUAAUAUUGAAAAUCCUCGAAUUUUUCUUGAUUGUGAGGAAAUGCUUCUAAUGGUUCAUUCAUUAGUAUGAUGUCUGCUGUAAUUUUUUUGGAGGACAUCUUUUGUGGGAUCAUGAGUUUCCUUCCUACUCCUACUUUGCUAAAAGUUUGUUUUCUGAUCAAGAAUGGGCUUCAAAGGGAUCCCUGGGUGGCGCAGUGGUUUAGCGCCUGCCUUUGGCCCAGGGCGCGAUCCUGGAGACCCGGGAUCGAAUCCCACGUCCGGCUCCCGGGAGCCCGACGCGGGACUCGAUCCUGGAACUCCAGGAUCACACCCUGGGAUGAAGGCGGCGCUAAAUCGCUGAGCCACCCAGGCUGCCCGGUUUUAUCUAUUUUUCUAGAAAAUUUUCUAUUACAUGUAAUUAUUUAAUGUCAUAUUUUCCAUAGUAUUAUUUCAUGAAAUUAAAAAAGUUCCUAUGCCAGCAUUUAUAUUUAAUGUUCAUAUUGUAUGUUGCUCUAUGCCUUUUCUCAUUUAUUAUUGACCAGUUUGGGGAGAGUCUCAUCCAUUUUACAAGUCUUUGUAAAGCCUCAGCUUUUGAUCUUAUUAAACACAUUUAGUAUCUUUGUUUUUUAGUAUCAUUCAUCUCUGCUCUUAUAUUCAUUAGUUCUGUCCUACUUCAUCAUUAUUUCAAUAGUUUCUUGAACUGAAUGCUUAUAUUUUAAGGUUUUGAAUUUUUAUUCUUUUCUAAUAUAUCUAAUUUUUUCCUAUAAAAGUUCUGCACUAGUUGCAUUCCAUAUGGUAUGUAAGAUUUCUGGGGGCAUCCAUUUCUAAAUGUUUUGUCAUUUUUUAAAUGCCUUAUUCUUUACCUUACGAAAUAUUUAGAAAGUUGUAUCUUAUUUUCCAGACACAUUUUUUUUAAAGAUUUUAUUUAUUUAUUCAUGAUAGAGAGAGAGAGAGAGAGAAAGAGAGAGAGGCAGAGACACAGGCAGAAGGAGAAGCAGACUC
rnacentral:lncRNA from 1 species